rnacentral:rRNA from 1 species
GACGAACGCUGGCGGCGUGCUUAACACAUGCAAGUCGAACGGAAAGGCCCUGCUUUUGUGGGGUGCUCGAGUGGCGAACGGGUGAGUAACACGUGAGUAACCUGCCCUUGACUUUGGGAUAACUUCAGGAAACUGGGGCUAAUACCGGAUAGGAGCUCCUGCUGCAUGGUGGGGGUUGGAAAGUUUCGGCGGUUGGGGUUGGACUCGCGGCUUAUCAGCUUGUUGGUGAGGUAGUGGCUUACCAAGGCUUUGACGGGUAGCCGGCCUGAGAGGGUGACCGGCCACAUUGGGCCUGAGAUACGGCCCAGACUCCUACGGGAGGCAGCAGUGGGGAAUUUUGCACAAUGGGCGGAAGCCUGAUGCAGCAACGCCGCGUGCGGGAUGACGGCCUUCGGGUUGUAAACCGCUUUCGCCUGUGACGAAGCGUGAGGGACGGUAAUGGGUAAAGAAGCACCGGCUAACUACGU